GGGGGGGUAGCGAAGUGGCUAAACGCGGCGCUCCCUCGGGUUCGGCGGUUCGAAUCCGCCCCCCCCCACCA
rnacentral:tRNA from 1 species